rnacentral:lncRNA from 1 species
CCCUCGGCAUAUAUGGCCCGGCGCUAUAAGGGCACACUGCCUCGCUGGUAUGAAUGCGUCGUCAGUGGUGUAGUGGUAAAAUUAGCUGUGCCGGAGCUAUACCUCUACCGGAAAAUUUUUGAAAAUUAGCCUACUACCCAAAUCGUGAGUUUUAAGGCCCUUUGGCAAAUGUUUUGAAAAGUUUAAUAAUUAAACUAAUUAAUGAUCUUUUAGAGUGAUAGUAGUUACAGUAGGGCCUCCUACACAUUCUCCUCCAAAGAAUAAUUUUAACUUUAAAAUAUGGUAAGACUUUCUUAAGGUAGAUUAUUACAGUUUGAUACCUUAAAAACUGUUUUUAAGGUAUCAAACCAUAAUAAUCUACCUUAAAAACUCUAUAAUUUAAGUUGGAAGCCUUGCUGACAAAAAUUAAAAAAACACUGGUGUAAGUUAGGCAAAUAUUGUAAAUGACUAAGUUUUCAUUUUCAGUAGUAUUAAUUUAUUAUUGUGAAAAAAUACACCCACAAGUUACAUUAGUAUAUAUAUUUUUUAUUAUUUAACACACACAAACAUUAUAAUCUGUGCCAAAAAAA